GACGAACGCUGGCGGCGUGCUUAACACAUGCAAGUCGAACGGAAAGGCCCUGCUUUUGUGGGGUGCUCGAGUGGCGAACGGGUGAGUAACACGUGAGUAACCUGCCCUUGACUUUGGGAUAACUUCAGGAAACUGGGGCUAAUACCGGAUAGGAUCUCCUGCUGCAUGGUGGGGGUUGGAAAGUUUCGGCGGUUGGGGAUGGACUCGCGGCUUAUCAGCUUGUUGGUGGGGUAGUGGCUUACCAAGGCUUUGACGGGUAGCCGGCCUGAGAGGGUGACCGGCCACAUUGGGACUGAGAUACGGCCCAGACUCCUACGGGAGGCAGCAGUGGGGAAUAUUGCACAAUGGGCGGAAGCCUGAUGCAGCAACGCCGCGUGCGGGAUGACGGCCUUCGGGUUGUAAACCGCUUUCGCCUGUGACGAAGAGUGAGUGACGGUAAUGGGUAAAGAAGCACCGGCUAACUACGUG
rnacentral:rRNA from 1 species